UGGGGAAUUUUGGACAAUUGGGCGCAAGCCUGAUCCAGCCAUGCCGCGUGCGGGAAGAAGGCCUUCGGGUUGUAAACCGCUUUUGUCAGGGAAGAAAUCUUCUGAGUUAAUACCUCGGGAGGAUGACGGUACCUGAAGAAUAAGCACCGGCUAACUACGUGCCAGCAGCCGCGGUAAUACGUAGGGUGCAAGCGUUAAUCGGAAUUACUGGGCGUAAAGCGUGCGCAGGCGGUUUUGUAAGACAGAGGUGAAAUCCCCGGGCUCAACCUGGGAACUGCCUUUGUGACUGCAAGGCUUGAGUGCGGCAGAGGGGGCAUGGAAUUCCGCGUNUAGCAGUGAAAUUGCGUAGAUAUGCGGAGGAACACCGAUGGCGAAGGCCAAUCCCCCUGGGCCUGCANUGACGCUCAUGCACGAAAGCGUGGGGAGCAAAC
rnacentral:rRNA from 1 species